rnacentral:rRNA from 1 species
UACGUAGGGGGCAAGCGUUGUCCGGAUUUAUUGGGCGUAAAGAGCGUGUAGGCGGCCAUACAGGUCCGUUGUGAAAACUGGAGGCUUAACCUCCAGACGUCGAUGGAAACCGUAUGGCUAGAGUCCGGAAGAGGAGAGUGGAAUUCCUGGUGUAGCGGUGAAAUGCGCAGAUAUCAGGAAGAACACCCGUGGCGAAGGCGGUUCUCUGGGACGGUACUGACGCUGAGACGCGAAAGCGUGGGGAGCAAACAGG